CCCUUAGAUGUUCUGGGCCGCACGCGCGCUACACUGACGAAUGCAACGAGCUUAUAAUAUCCUUGGCCGAAAGGUCUGGGUAAUCUCCAAAUUUCGUCGUGAUGGGGAUAGAUUAUUGCAAUUAUUAAUCUUCAACGAGGAAUGCCUAGUAAGCGCAAGUCAUCAGCUUGCGUUGAUUACGUCCCUGCCCUUUGUACACACCGCCCGUCGCUCCUACCGAUUGAAUGGUCCGGUGAAGCGUUCGGACCGUGGCCUUUGGACGGUUCGCCGUCUGUUGGCUGCGGGAAGUUCGUUAAACCUUAUCAUUUAGAGGAAGGAGAAGUCGUAACA
rnacentral:rRNA from 1 species